rnacentral:lncRNA from 7 species
UAAUGCAACUUCAUGUAUACGUACUAGCUAGCACAGGAUCAGUAAACCACUUCAUUAGCAGCGCAUCAACAAUAGUACCUGCUAGCGCGCAGACUGCAAAUUAAAGUAGGUGUUCCAGAAGGCAAGCGAUCUCCUCCGGCUUUACUCCAAAAGGCAGCAGCAUGAGUUGAAGGUCGCCAAGGCCCUACCUAUAUGAAUUAAUAUUCGAAUGAAAUAAAAUUUAGGUUUAGAUGAAGCACUUUUAGAGAAGUGAUCUCAGUUUAGACGACUGAAAUCGUCUAACCGGAGACCCCCUCCAUAGAACAUCCGCUGCAGUUUUCAGGCUUUGCGUAGUACUUACUAC